GGCGGCGUAGCUCAGCUGGCUAGAGCGUACGGUUCAUACCCGUAAGGUCGGGAGUUCGAGUCUCUCCGCCGCUA
rnacentral:tRNA from 1 species